AUUGAACGCUGGCGGCAUGCCUUACACAUGCAAAUCGAACGGUAACGGGCCUUCGGGUGCCGACGAGUGGCGAACGGGUGAGUAAUACAUCGGAACGUGCCCGAUCGCGGGGGAUAACGAGGCGAAAGCUUUGCUAAUACCGCAUACGAUCUACGGAUGAAAGCAGGGGACCGCAAGGCCUUGCGCGGACGGAGCGGCCGAUGGCAGAUUAGGUAGUUGGUGGGAUAAAAGCUUACCAAGCCGACGAUCUGUAGCUGGUCUGAGAGGAUGAUCAGCCACACUGGGACUGAGACACGGCCCAGACUCCUACGGGAGGCAGCAGUGGGGAAUUUUGGACAAUGGGCGCAAGCCUGAUCCAGCCAUGCCGCGUGCAGGAUGAAGGCCUUCGGGUUGUAAACUGAUUUUGUACGGAACGAAAAGCCUUCUUUUAAUACAGGAGGGUCAUGACGGUACCGUAAGAAUAAGCACCGGCUAACUACGUG
rnacentral:rRNA from 1 species